rnacentral:piRNA from 1 species
UAGACCAAUGUGCCAAGCAGACCAGUCUUG